rnacentral:rRNA from 1 species
UACGGAGGGUGCAAGCGUUAAUCGGAAUUACUGGGCGUAAAGCGCGCGUAGGCGGUUUGUUAAGUGAGAUGUGAAAGCCCAGGGCUCAACCUUGGAACUGCAUCUCAUACUGGCAGGCUAGAGUAUGGUAGAGGGGGAGAGUCAUCAGUAGCGGUGAAAUGCGUAGAGAUGUGGAGGAAUACCAGUGGCGAAGGCGGCCCUGCUGGACAAC